rnacentral:rRNA from 1 species
GACGAACGCUGGCGGCGUGCCUAAUACAUGCAAGUAGAACGCACAGUUUAUACCGUAGCUUGCUACACCAUAGACUGUGAGUUGCGAACGGGUGAGUAACGCGUAGGUAACCUGCCUGGUAGCGGGGGAUAACUAUUGGAAACGAUAGCUAAUACCGCAUAAUAUUAAUUAUUGCAUGAUAAUUAAUUGAAAGGUGCAAUUGCACCACUACCAGAUGGACCUGCGUUGUAUUAGCUAGUAGGUGAGGUAACGGCUCACCUAGGCGACGAUACAUAGCCGACCUGAGAGGGUGAUCGGCCACACUGGGACUGAGACACGGCCCAGACUCCUACGGGAGGCAGCAGUAGGGAAUCUUCGGCAAUGGACGAAAGUCUGACCGAGCAACGCCGCGUGAGUGAAGAAGGUUUUCGGAUCGUAAAGCUCGGUUGUAAGAGAAGAACGGGUGUGAGAGUGGAAAGCUCACACUGUGACGGUAUCUUAACAGAAAGGGACGGCUAACUACGUG